rnacentral:lncRNA from 1 species
CUAAUAGCAGUUAAUGUUCAUCAUGUUGGCACCUGGGUGAAACUCCUUUCCAUGCAGAGGUAAAUGUAGGUACCGAUCAUUGAAAGGUAAUCUUUAAUUAAUUGAUUGUUUUUGAGACAGAGUCUCACUCUUAUCGCCCAGCCUGGAAGUGCAGUGGUGUGAUCUCAGCUCACCGCAACCUCUGCCUCCUGGGUUCAAGGGAUUCUUCUGCCUCAGCCUCCCAAGUAGCUGAGUAGCUGGGAUUACAGGUGCAAGCCACCACGACCGCCUAAUUUUUGUAUUUUUGGUAGAGACAGGGUUUCACCACGCUGGCCAGGCUGGUCUCCAACUCCUGACCUCAGGUGAUCCACCCGCCUCGGCCUCCCAAAGUGCUGGGGUUAUAGGUGUGAGCCACCGUACCCGGCCGAGAGGUAAUCUUCAGAAGACUUACUGGUGGGUGAUGACAGUGUUUGGGCCCCCAAUUUUAAAAAGGAUUAGAAGCAGUGACAAGAAUUUGGCAAAACAAAUUUCUGAACCCAAGACUGUUGUGCACUGGCAAGUGUAGGAUGUUUGUCCUCAGCUGGAGUCCCUAAACUCCGACACACACAGCACAUCCAGUACUUCCUAAAAGAGCAGAUGGGACCAUAGCAAGAAUCUCUUUGCUGCCCGACACAUGAGAAGCGGCCUGCCCAGCUGGCACUUGCUCUCCUACAACCAGCCUCAACAAGGCAUCGAGCUGCCUGCACCAGUGACAGCAAAGCAGCACCUGCCUGUCUGCAGCUCAGGGAUUUUCUCUCGCCCUCAGUCGUACAGCCUUAGCCUUCCAGAAAAAUGGAUCUGUGGCAGUCAUGGUUCCUGGACUUCUAGAAAUGACUAUAUUCCAGGAGAUGCAGAAAUGCUACUGAACAUGGAUGUGCAGCACCACAGAAAACCUAUGUGGGAUCCUGAUCACCAGUGGAAGCCCGGCUCCUUAGAGAGCUAAGAUGGAACAAAGAAAAUUCCCAGGCCCGGGAACCACCAGAGGUACUACCUUAUUUGCUCAAAAGGUAGGUUAUGCCCAUAAGGGGCAGACCACGCAUGGCUCUACCUCUCUCUCUCUCUCUACACACACACACACUCUCUCUCUCUCUCUCUCUCUCCUGCUUUUAUUGUGCCAUUUUGGAUCUGUAGGAACUUGGGCUUGAAGAGCUACAUGAUCUGAAAUUCAGCAUGUAUCAGCUAGUAGGUUUAGGUUAUGUCCCGAGAGGGAUGUGCCUCCAGGUGGCUGUGACCUCACUUUCACAGUUCAUGCAGAGGAAAGUCAUCCUUGUGGUCCUGGGAGAGCUGGUCUGUUGCUGCCCAGGUUUGCCUGCACUGCCAGCAUGGCUCUCACAGCCCCCCAAAUUGUUUUCCUCUGAAAGGUUCAAAUCUUGACUCUGAAACAGACCUCAUAAUGAAACACCUAUGGGAAAAGUCUAUUCUCUGGCCUCUUUCCUGAGCUCAAUAAUGUUUAAUUUUUAAAAGCGGGGGAGGGAGGGAGGGAAAGAAGAAGUCUCUGAUAUUUCUCCAGUGCACUUGGCUCUCAUAGAUGGCCUUGGCCAAAACUCACCACCAGCGAUUGUGCCAGAACACCUGGUUUGAAUUCUGGCUGCCAUGCUGCUUCAUUUAAUGAGAUGGUCCCAACUUACUUUACUAUUUAAAAAGAAUUUGAGGCCAGAUGCAGUGGCUCAUGCUUUUAAUCUCAGCACUUUAGGAGGCCGAGGUGGGCUGAUCAUGAGGUC